rnacentral:rRNA from 1 species
AAUCAACGCUGGCGGCGUGCCUAACACAUGCAAGUCGAACGCGAAAGCCCGCAAGGGUAAGUAGAGUGGCGCACGGGUGAGUAACACGUGGACAACCUGCCUUCGAGUGGGGAAUAACCUUCCGAAAGGAGGGCUAAUACCGCAUAACACCUCGGGACACAAGUUCUGGGGUUGAAAAGAGCAAUUUGCUCGAAGAGGGGUCCGCGCCUGAUUAGCUAGUUGGUGAGGUAACGGCUCACCAAGGCUUCGAUCAGUAGCCGUCCUGAGAGGGAGCACGGCCACACUGGAACUGAGACACGGUCCAGACUCCUACGGGAGGCAGCAGUGGGG